CUUGUUGCAUUAUCUAGAAAAGAAUAUAGCAUAUAGCUAUAGAUAUAGGCUUUUCCUUGAAAGCUUGAAAAAAAUUCGCCAGUAAAAUAAUCUAGCUUAAAGUGAUAAACUAACAAACAAAUAUAACAACAACUGAAAAGGCACUCUAAAUUGUGGCUGGCUUCCCUUUCUGUCUGCUAUUGUAUGAAGAAUACUGAUGUUUACCUGUAUUUGCUUUGCUGUACUAAAAUGUAAUGAAAAAUAAAAGAUUAAUAAAUGAAACAUAAUG
rnacentral:lncRNA from 10 species